GACGAACGCUGGCGGCGUGCUUAACACAUGCAAGUCGAACGGAAAGGCCUGCUUUCCCUUGUGGAUUGCGGGUACUCGAGUGGCGAACGGGUGAGUAACACGUGAGUGAUCUGCCCCCAACUUGGGUAUAAGCCUGGGAAACUGGGUCUAAUUACCGAUAGGACUGCAGGGUGGUGCCUGUGGUGGAAAACGAUUUUCUAGUGGUUGGGGAUGAGCUGGCGGCCUAUCAGCUUGUUGGUGGGGUAAUGGCCGACAAAGGCGGCGACGGGUAGACGGCCUGGGAGGGGGGACGGCCACAUUGAGACUGGGAUACGGCCCAGACGGCUGCGGGAGGCAGGAGUGGGGAAGAGAGGACCAUGGGCGGGAGCCUGAUGCAGCGAGGCAGCGUGGGGGAUGACGGGAUUCGGGUUGUAAGCUCCUUUCGACCGCCAGGAAGCCACCUGGUUGGAAGGGUGGUGACGGUAGUGGUAGAAGAAGCACCGGCUAACUACGUG
rnacentral:rRNA from 1 species